AUCGCUUCUUGGCCUUUUGGCUAAGAUCAAGUGUAGAAUUUGACAAAAGAUUUUAUAAGCAAAAUACUAU
ensembl:snRNA U2 U2 spliceosomal RNA